AUAGCAGAUAUUUAAACCAUUACAUAUAUGGCUUUGCAUUCAUACACAUUGAACCAAAAUGAGACCCUAGUUAAGUCUUGUUCUAACUGACUAACCCCUACCUAAAUGGGACAAUUCAGUAAAACAAUGACACACACUUACACCCCUCACCAAUCAAACCCUUUCAGGUAAAGUUUUCUAGUGCAAAUGUAAAGCAUAAUGGCAGUGGUGUGGUGACUGCUUUCCAAUAGUUAGACAGCAAGCAUCUAGCCAGCAUGUGUGUAACUUUGGAUUUGAGGGGUGAGGCUGUGUCUCUAGAGAUGGGGGGUGAAGCUGUGUCUCUAGAGAUGGGGUGAAGCUGUGUCUCUAGAGAUGGGGGAUGAAACUGUGUCUAGAGAGAUGGGGUGUAACUGUGUCUCUAGAGAUGUGGGGAUGAAACUGUGUCUGGAGAGAUGGGGUGAAACUGUCUCUAGAGAUGGGGGAUGAAACUGUGUCUCUAGAGAUGGGGUGAUGAAACUGUGUCUGGAGAGAUGGGGUGAAACUGUGUCUGGAGAGAUGGGGUGAAACUAUGUCUCUAGAGAUGGGGGAUGAAACUGUGUCUAGAGAGAUGGGGUGAAACUGUGUCUCUAGAGAUGGGGGAUGAAACUGUGUCUGGAGAGAUGGGGUGAAACUGUGUCUCUAGAGAUGGGGGAUGAAACUGUGUCUGGAGAGAUGGGGUGAAGCUGUGUCUCUAGAGAUGGGGGUGACGCUGUGUCUCUAGAGAUGGGGGUGACGCUGUAUCUCUAGAGAUGGGGUGAAGCUGUGUCUCUAGAGAUGGGGGGUGAAGCUGUGUCUCUAGAGAUGGGGGUGACGCUGUAUCUCUAGAGAUGGGGUGAAGCUGUGUCUCUAGAGAUGGGGAUUAAACUGUGUCUAGAGAGAUGGGGUGAAACUGUGUCUCUAGAGAUGGGGGGAUGAAACUGUGUCUGGAGAGAUGGGGUGAAACUGUGUCUCUAGAGAUGGGGGAUGAAACUGUGUCUAGAGAGAUGGGGGGAUGAAACUGUGUCUGGAGAGAUGGGGUGAAACUGUGUCUCUAGAGAUGGCGGGCUGAAACUGUGUCUGGAGAGAUGGGGUGAAACUGUGUCUCUAGAGAUGGGGGAUGAAACUGUGUCUAGAGAGAUGGGGUGAAGCUGUGUCUCUAGAGAUGGGGGUGACGCUCUGUGUCUCUAGAGAUGGGGGAUGAA
ensembl:lncRNA